UCUGACGUCACCACAGAAACCAUUAACAAUGUUAAUGUUAACGACCAAAACUGCACGGUGCCCAGGGAAGGACAAAAAGAAAAGAGGAGGAGGAAAAACGCGACAAAGUCAGGGUGGCUGCUGCUGAAAGAAGCUUCUCCGAGCUCAAACUCAUUAAACCUUACCUGAGAUCUGCUAUGAUGCAACAACUCAGUGGACUUUCCAUCAUAAGCAUCAAUCAUGUGAUCUCAAAUCAGUUGUCAUAUGAUGAGGUUAUAGAUGACUUUUCUGCAAGAAAGACUUGGAGAGUACAACUGUAGCAGGUGAUGUGAGGAUGACUAGUGGUGGUGUAGUUUAAUUGAUUUUAUCACUUGUUUACAGUUUUUAUUUUGUAGGUAGUUAAAUGUUAUACUUUGUGUGGGAUAUUUAUAUUUCUUGUAUUAUUUAUUUCUAAUUUAUUAUUUUCUUGUUAACUGUUUUGAUUGAGCAACUUGUUCCUCUAAAAGUAAAAUGAAAUGUCAAAGACAAAGCUAUUCAGUUUCUUGUGUGAGUAUAUGUAUGUAUCUCGAUUGUGAGCGACGCCAGUCACCCCACACACAGACUGUUCACCCUCCUCCUCCCUCCGUGCCCACUCCACCAGACUCACAGAAAGCUUCAUCCACCAAGUUGUCAGGAAGCUAAAUUCUCUCCCCUCUCUCCCCCCAGUCACAUCCUCCAGGCUGUCAAGAAGCUGAUCCCCCCCAUUGAAUGUUUACUUUUAGUAUUAGAAAAUGUCUUGUCUGUUUGUGCCUGUGCACUUUAUCUUGUAAUGGCAAUUUAUAAGAACCUAUACAAUCCUUUGACCUGGUCAUUGUAAAACCAUACGCAACAGUUGAAGAGGAUAUUAUAUGCAUAUAACCUUUAGCCCUGUUUCUAACUACACUCUAUGUCCAAGUAAACAGCAGGAUGUUGAGACUUCACUAAGAAACCAAGGACAUGAUCAUCUCACCACACUGUCUGUCUGUUUACUGUCCCACAACUCAGGAAUGUGUAACUGUGUCCUCCAACAGGGAUAAAACCCUACUGCUUCUGCCAAUUGAGGCUCUUUGGACUUUUACAUACGAGAGUGUGUGACGGUUGCGUUGAGACCAUUCAUGGAUGACUUGAAUAAAACCUUACAGAAAGACAAGAUCAUACUUUGCAUACUUUAUUCAACAAAUUGCCACCACAAUCUGUUUCACCGUGGGAGACUGAGAUACGUCCUCUCGAUUACUUUGUGUGUCUGGUGCAUGUGAAGAAAUGAACAAUAAAGCUGACUUUGACUUUGAUAA